UACGGAGGGGGCUGGCGUUGUUCGGAAUUACUGGGCGUAAAGCGCACGUAGGCGGCUUUGUAAGUUAGAGGUGAAAGCCCGGAGCUCAACUCCGGAAUUGCCUUUAAGACUGCAUCGCUCGAAUCAUGGAGAGGUGAGUGGAAUUCCGAGUGUAGAGGUGAAAUUCGUAGAUAUUCGGAAGAACACCAGUGGCGAAGGCGACUCACUGGACAUGUACUGACGCGGAGGUGCGAAAGCGUGGGGAGCAAACAGG
rnacentral:rRNA from 1 species